CAAGACGUAGCUUUAAUAAAAGCACUCAGCUUACGCCUGAAAGAUGUCUGUUAAACCAGAUCGUCUUGA
rnacentral:tRNA from 1 species